UACGUAGGGUGCGAGCGUUAAUCGGAAUUACUGGGCGUAAAGCGUGCGCAGGCGGUUCGUUGUGUCGGUGGUGAAAUCCCCGGGCUUAACCUGGGAAUGGCCAUGGAAACUGGCGAACUGGAGUGUGGCAGAGGGGGGUGGAAUUCCGCGUGUAGCAGUGAAAUGCGUAGAUAUCUGGAGGAACACCGGUGGCGAAGGCGGCAUCCUGGACCGGUAUUGACGCUGAGGCGCGAAAGCCAGGGGAGCAAACGGG
rnacentral:rRNA from 1 species